rnacentral:lncRNA from 1 species
GCCAUUGGAGAAGUAGGGAGGAAUGUAGAUGGGAGGAGAUGUCGGGGAAAACUGGAAGCUUAGGAAGGCGCCGGAGGAGGAAGAAGGCCUGUGCGCUAAAGGAGGAAGAUGUGAGCUCGUAAGGGGGAGUACGGAACGUGCUGAUAUUUAAAGGUGGUCAGAGAAGGGGUAAAAGCGGAAUUUUUACCGCGCCGGCGUUUCGAUUUUUUCGGGAGGAGUGGUUGUCGUGGGCGCCCGUUUCGAAAAGAUUGCAAUCAUCAGGCUGGAGACCGCGAAACGGAAGGGUAUUUUCAAUGCGUUUGUUUCGGAAGGGAAGUUGAAAAGAAUUUCGAAGUAAAAACUAUGUUUUACUCCGAAACUAGGGGGCAUGUGUUGACGCCAGAUUUUGACACGUAUAAAAUCGGCGUCAGGAAAGGAAGAAAUCAGGAGAUGCGGCAAGACACAGAGGUCACGGUUGGAAAUUGGCCGAUUGGUGCUACAGUCGAGGAUCGGCCGAUUGCCCUUUGAGGGUGGAACUCCGCCUCGCCCGACCCCUGAGUCCUGGGGUCGGAUGCGCCCGACCCUCCGAGGGAGGAACUCUGCCUCGCCCGACCUUAGGUCCCAGGGUCGGAGUAGUCGGAGCCCCCGACGUGUGGGCCGUAAUCGGUUGUCCCUUGUCGAUGGAGUUGGUAGAAAUCGGCCGAUUAGGAGGCUGGUGCAAUUGGGCCAGUGUGGGCUUAAAGUGGAUUAUGAAGAUAAAGAGGGAGUCAGCCCAUGAGAGCAUGAUGAUCAACUCCAGUACAAGUCAUACUUGUAAAUAUUCGUUUUUCGUUUAAAAUUAGAGAUAGAGUUCUAGUCGGUUAAGAAAUCGUUUGUAACAGGCUAUAAAUAGCCACCUUCAUAGAUCUGUAACCAUCAUCAACUCAAUACAACAAA